rnacentral:tRNA from 1 species
GGACCUGUGGUCUAGUUGGUUAGGACGUUGCCUUGACAUGGCAGAGAUCUUGGGUUCGAAUCCCAAUGGGUCCA